AUUGAACGCUGGCGGCAGGCCUAACACAUGCAAGUCGAGCGAGCGGCGGACGGGUGAGUAAUGUCUGGGAAACUGCCUGAUGGAGGGGGAUAACUACUGGAAACGGUAGCUACUACCGCAUCCCAUCAGAUGUGCCCAGGUGGGAUUAGCUAGUAGGUGGGGUAACGGCUCCCCUAGGCGACGCUCCCUAGCUGGUCUGCUAGGAUGACCAGCCACACUGGAACGGAGACACGGGCCAGACUCCUACGGGAGGCAGCGGUGGGGAAUAUUGCACAAUGGGAGCAAGCCUGAUGCAGCCAUGCCGCGUGUGUGAAGAAGGCCUUCGGGUUGUAAAGCAAUUUCAGCGGGGAGGCGUUACCCGCAGAAGAAGCACCGGCUAACUCCGUGCCAGCAGCCGCGGUAAUUC
rnacentral:rRNA from 1 species